AAAAGCGGCCGGGAACGGAUCCCAAAUCCCGGCGGGACCGGGCGGGGACGGCCCCGAUCCCGGUUUUUUUAGGGGCUGGAAUGGUGGGAAUUUACCCCAAAAAUAAAAAUCAGGAAUAAAAUUCUUCCCAAAAUUUCCCAAAAUCCCUGAGAGGGGCGGGAAUUUCACCAGGAAUUUUUCCCGGGAAUUUCCCUGCUGGGUCUCCCGAAGAAAUUCCCGGGAAUUUUGGAUGUUUGGGAUCACUCCCGGCUCGAUUUGGGGAAUUAUUUGGGAAUUCGGGAAUUUGGGAAUUAUUUGGGAAUUCGGGGAUUUGGGGAUUCGGGAAUUUGGGAAUUUGGGGAUUUGGGAAUUGGGAAUAUUGAGCAAAUUGGGAAUUGGGGAUUUGGGAUAUGGGGGAUAUCGGGAAUUCAGGAGAUUGGGGAUUUGGGAAUUGGGAAUUUGGUGAUUUGGAAUAUUGAGCAAAUUGGGGAUAUUGGGGAUUUGGGAUAUGGGGGAUACUGAGAAUUUGGGGAUUUGGGAUAUGGGGGAUAUCGGGAAUUUAGGAGAUUGGGGAUUUGGUGAUUUGGAAUAUUGAGCAAAUUGGGAAUUGGGGAUUUGGGAUAUGGGGGAUAUCAGGAAUUUAGGAGAUUGAGGAUUUGGGAAUUUGGAAUAUUGAGCAAAUUGGGAAUUGGGGAUUUGGGAAUAUCGGGAAUUUAGGAGAUUGGGGAUUUGGGAUAUGGGGGAUACUGAGAAUUUGGGAAAAUUGGGAUAUGGGGGAUAUCGGGAAUUCAGGAGAUUGGGGAUUGGGGAUUGGGAAUUUGGGGAUAACCCCGGGGUCCCUGUCCCACCUCCAGCUCCCUGCUGGCCACCAGGAAGAUGCGGGCCCGGACGUCCUUCCAGCGGCUCUCG
rnacentral:lncRNA from 1 species